AAUGACUCUCGGCAAUGGAUAUCUCGGCUCUUGCAUCGAUGAAGAACGUAGUGAAAUGCGAUACUUGGUGUGAAUUGCAGAAUCUCGUGAACCAUUGAGUCUUUGAACGCAAGUUGUGCCCGAGGCUUUGUGGCCGAGGGCACGCCUGCUUGGGCGUCAUGGCA
rnacentral:rRNA from 1 species